rnacentral:rRNA from 1 species
UACGUAGGGGGCAAGCGUUGUCCGGAAUCAUUGGGCGUAAAGCGCGUGUAGGCGGUCCGGUAAGUCCGCUGUGAAAGUCGGGGGCUCAACCCUCGGAUGCCGGUGGAUACUGUCGGGCUUGAGUACGGAAGAGGCGAGUGGAAUUCCUGGUGUAGCGGUGGAAUGCGCAGAUAUCAGGAGGAACACCAACGGCGAAGGCAGCUCGCUGGGACGGUACUGACACUGAGGCGCGAAAGCGUGGGGAGCGAACAGG